rnacentral:rRNA from 1 species
GAUCCUGCCGGACCUGACUGCUAUCGGAUUGAUACUAAGCCAUGCGAGUCAUUGUAGCAAUACAAGGCAGACGGCCCAGUAACGCGUAGUCAAUCUACCCUAUGGACGGGAAUAACCUCGGGAAACUGAGAAUAAUGCCCGAUAGAACAUUAUGCCUGGAAUGGUUUAUGUUUCAAAUGAUUUAUCGCCAUAGGAUGGGACUGCGGCCUAUCAGUUUGUUGGUGAGGUAAUGGCCCACCAAGACUAUUACAGGUACGGGCUCUGAGAGGAGUGGCCCGGAGAUGGGUACUGAGACACGGACCCAGGCCCUAUGGGGCGCAGCAGGCGAGAAAACUUUGCAAUGUGCGAAAGCACGACAAGGUUAAUCCGAGUGGUUUCUGCUAAAGAAACCUUUUGUCAGUCCUAGAAACACUAACGAAUAAGGGGUGGGCAAGUUCUGGAGUCAGCCGCCGCGGUAAAACCAGCACCUCAAGUGGUCAGGAUGAUUAUUGGGCCUAAAGCAUCCGUAGCCCGUUUUGUAAGUUUUCGGUUAAAUCCAUGCGCUUAACGUAUGGGCUGCCGGGAAUACUGCAUAACUAGGAAGUGGGAGAGGUAGACGGUACUCGGUAGGAAGGGGUAAAAUCCUUUGAUCUAUUGAUGACCACCUGUGGCGAAGGCGGUCUACCAGAACACGUUCGACGGUGAGGGAUGAAAGCUGGGGGAGCAAACCGGAUUAGAUACCCGGGUAGUCCCAGCUGUAAACUAUGCAAACUCAGUGAUGCAUUGGCUUGUGGCCAAUGCAGUGCUGCAGGGAAGCCGUUAAGUUUGCCGCCUGGGAAGUACGUACGCAAGUAUGAAACUUAAAGGAAUUGGCGGGGGAGCACCACAAGGGGUGAAGCCUGCGGUUCAAUUGGAGUCAACGCCGG